rnacentral:lncRNA from 1 species
GCCCCUAGCGCAGACGGCGGAGAGCAGAGAGGGAGCGCGCCUUGGCUCGCUGGCCUUGGCGGCGGCUCCUCAGGAGAGCUGGGGCGCCCACGAGAGGAUCCCUCACCCGGGUCUCUCCUCAGGGAUGACAUCAUCCGUCCACCUCCUUGUCUUCAAGGACCACCUCCUCUCCAUGCUGAGCUGCUGCCAAGGGGCCUGCUGCCCAUCUACACCUCACGAGGGCACUAGGAGCACGGUUUCCUGGAUCCCACCAACAUACAAAGCAGCCACUCACUGACCCCCAGGACCAGGAUGGCAAAGGAUGAAGAGGACCGGAACUGACCAGCCAGCUGUCCCUCUUACCUAAAGACUUAAACCAAUGCCCUAGUGAGGGGGCAUUGGGCAUUAAGCCCUGACCUUUGCUAUGCUCAUACUUUGACUCUAUGAGUACUUUCCUAUAAGUCUUUGCUUGUGUUCACCUGCUAGCAAACUGGAGUGUUUCCCUCCCCAAGGGGGUGUCAGUCUUUGUCGACUGACUCUGUCAUCACCCUUAUGAUGUCCUGAAUGGAAGGAUCCCUUUGGGAAAUUCUCAGGAGGGGGACCUGGGCCAAGGGCUUGGCCAGCAUCCUGCUGGCAACUCCAAGGCCCUGGGUGGGCUUCUGGAAUGAGCAUGCUACUGAAUCACCAAAGGCACGCCCGACCUCUCUGAAGAUCUUCCUAUCCUUUUCUGGGGGAAUGGGGUCGAUGAGAGCAACCUCCUAGGGUUGUUGUGAGAAUUAAAUGAGAUAAAAGAGGCCUCAGGCAGGAUCUGGCAUAGAGGAGCACUCCAGGCAGCCCUUGUCCACGGGCUCUCCUUGCAUCAGCCAAGCUUCUUGAAAGGCCUGUCUACACUUGCUGUCUUCCUUCCUCACCUCCAAUUUCCUCUUCAACCCACUGCUUCCUGACUCGCUCUACUCCGUGGAAGCACGCUCACAAAGGCACGUGGGCCGUGGCCCGGCUGGGUCGGCUGAAGAACUGCGGAUGGAAGCUGCGGAAGAGGCCCUGAUGGGGCCCACCAUCCCGGACCCAAGUCUUCUUCCUGGCGGGCCUCUCGUCUCCUUCCUGGUUUGGGCGGAAGCCAUCACCUGGAUGCCUACGUGGGAAGGGACCUCGAAUGUGGGACCCCAGCCCCUCUCCAGCUCGAAAUCCCUCCACAGCCACGGGGACACCCUGCACCUAUUCCCACGGGACAGGCUGGACCCAGAGACUCUGGACCCGGGGCCUCCCCUUGAGUAGAGACCCGCCCUCUGACUGAUGGACGCCGCUGACCUGGGGUCAGACCCGUGGGCUGGACCCCUGCCCACCCCGCAGGAACCCUGAGGCCUAGGGGAGCUGUUGAGCCUUCAGUGUCUGCAUGUGGGAAGUGGGCUCCUUCACCUACCUCACAGGGCUGUUGUGAGGGGCGCUGUGAUGCGGUUCCAAAGCACAGGGCUUGGCGCACCCCACUGUGCUCUCAAUAAAUGUGUUUCCUGUCUUAACAAAA